UUUUUUAUAUAUCCUGGAGAUUGAUGCUGUAUCUGAGGUGCAUGUGAUUAUUGAACUUCAGCAAUAAAGGUGACAUUCAAGGGGUUGGAGCACAAGAUAUUUUUGAGCCUGGUCUGUCUUCCUUAUCAUUAUCAAGAUGCCAUCAACUUUAAGUGAGGAAGACAGCCAUAGACGAAAAGAAGUCCCACAGCUGCAAAUCCAGCAUAGAGGAAGAAAGCUCCUGCAAUGCUCUGGGAGAAGAAGCCUUCUGCCAGGUUAUGAGGGCACUCAAGCAGCAACUCCAGGAGAAUUCCCCAUGAAGAUAAAG